rnacentral:rRNA from 1 species
GACGAACGCUGGCGGCGUGCUUAACACAUGCAAGUCGAACGCUGAAGCUUGGUGCUUGCACUGGGUGGAUGAGUGGCGAACGGGUGAGUAAUAAGUGAGUAACCUGCCCUUGACUCUGGGAUAAGCCUGGGAAACUGGGUCUAAUACUGGAUACGACAUGUCACCGCAUGGUGGUGUGUGGAAAGGGUUUUACUGGUUUUGGAUGGGCUCACGGCCUAUCAGCUUGUUGGUGGGGUAAUGGCUCACCAAGGCGACGACGGGUAGCCGGCCUGAGAGGGUGACCGGCCACACUGGGACUGAGACACGGCCCAGACUCCUACGGGAGGCAGCAGUGGGGAAUAUUGCACAAUGGGCGGAAGCCUGAUGCAGCGACGCCGCGUGAGGGAUGACGGCCUUCGGGUUGUAAACCUCUUUCAGCACGGAAGAAGCGAAAGUGACGGUACGUGCAGAAGAGGCGCCGGCUAACUACGUG